rnacentral:rRNA from 1 species
GCAAGUCGAGCGCGGGAAGCAGACAAUCAGUCCUUCGGGGUGGUGCGUCUGUGGAACGAGCGGCGGAUGGGUGAGUAACACGUGGGCGAACCUGCCUGUAAGCUUGGGAUAACUCGUGGAAACGCGAGCUAAUAACCGAAUAAAAAGUUUAGUUCGCAUGAACAGACGAUGAAAGACGGCUUUUGCUGUCACUUACAGAUGGGCCCGCGUCGCAUUAGCUAGUUGGUGGGGUAAAAGCUCACCAAAGCAACGAUGCGUAGCCGACCUGAGAGGGUGAUCGGCCACACUGGGACUGAGACACGGCCCAGACUCCUACGGGAGGCAGCAGUAGGGAAUCUUCCGCAAUGGACGAAAGUCUGACGGAGCGACGCCGCGUGAGUGAUGAAGGUCUUCGGAUCGUAAAACUCUGUUGUCGGGGAAGAACAAGUAUCGGCCUAAUACGCCGGUACCUUGACGGUACCUGAUUAGAAAGCCCCGGCUAACUACGUGCCAGCAGCUGC